CAAAGAACUUUGAAGAGAGAGUUCAAUAGGACGUGAAACCGGACAGAUAAUAACCGUUCAACUGGCUUGUAUGUCAGAGAUUCAGCAGGUUUGUUACUUGUGCGUCUCUUUGGCGAUGCUUGCGGCGACUGAUGAUGUGCAUGAAUGUAUUCAGGUGGCUGCCUCGGCAGUGUCUUGAUUAUUUGAGUGCACGGCGGAUGUUGCUUGGUGGUGAGUGCUCGUAGUACGGAUCGCUGCGACUUUUUCCUUGGGCUGUCUCGGCAGUGUUUGGACUUUUUCGUACGUGCUAUGUCCGAGUCAAAGACCAUAUUCAAGCAAAGAGUUUGUUGUACGACCCGUCUUGAAACACGGACCAAGGAGUCUAAAUUGUGCACGAGUGAUUGGAUUUUAAAUCCAAACGCGAAACGAAAGUAAACAGUCAGAUUUACACGCAUUACAGACGUGUAUCGAGUCUGCUCGAUACCCAGUAUGAGUGCAUGGAUUAGUACCCGAAAGAUGGUGAACUAUGCUUGAGCAGGACGAAGUCAGAGGAAACUCUGAUGGAAGUCCGAAGCGGUUCUGACGUGCAAAUCGAUCGUCAGACUUGAGUAUAGGGGCGAAAGACUAAUCGAACCAUC
rnacentral:rRNA from 1 species